AACGCACGAGACCUGCGGACCUGCGGAAGGAUCAUUACGUAUUUUAGGCCGGUCUGACCGGUUCUAUUUAACCCUGUUUUUUGCGUACUUUCUUGUUUCCUCGGCAGGCUUGCCUGUCGUCAGGACAUUUUCAACCAUUUAUGUUUUGUAUUUCAGCGUCAAAAAACAAUACAAUUGUAACAACUUUCAACAACGGAUCUCU
rnacentral:misc_RNA from 1 species